rnacentral:tRNA from 1 species
GCGGGAUUAGUUGAGCGGUUCAACGCAACCUUCCCAAGGUUGUAAGGCGGGUUCGACUCCCGUAUCCCGCU